rnacentral:rRNA from 1 species
AGGGCACCACCAGGAGUGGAGCCUGCGGCUUAAUUUGACUCAACACGGGAAAACUCACCCGGCCCGGACACUGGAAGGAUUGACAGAUUGAGAGCUCUUUCUUGAUUCAGUGGGUGGUGGUGCAUGGCCGUUCUUAGUUGGUGGAGCGAUUUGCCUGGUUAAUUCCGAUAACGAACGAGACUCUAGCCUACUAAAUAGAACGCCAGCUUACAUACGCUGGCGGUAUAAUUAACUUCUUAGAGGGACAGGCGGCGUUUCAGCCGCACGAAACAGAGCAAUAACAGGUCUGUGAUGCCCUUAGAUGUCCGGGGCCGCACGCGCGCUACACUGAAGUGAUCAGCGUGUAUAUACUUAGCCUGCUCUAGAAAGAGUGGGUAACCCAAUGAACCUUCUUCGUGAUUGGGAUAGGGGAUUGUAAUUAUUCCCCUUGAACGAGGAAUUCCCAGUAAGCGCGAGUCAUUAGCUCGCGUUGAUUACGUCCCUGCCCUUUGUACACACCGCCCGUCGCUACUACGGAUU